UAUGGGUUGUAUGUGUAUGUGUGUAUUGUAUAUGUUAUAUGUGUGUGUUGUGUUGUUAUGGGUUGUAUGUGUAUGUGUGUUGUUAUGAAUUGUGUGUAUAUGUAUGUGCUGUAUAUGUAGAUGCCUGACAAAGCCUUGUGCAUAAUGUGUAUAUGUAUGUGCAGUAUAUGUAGAUGCCUGACAAAGCCUUGUGCAUAAUCUAUCUCCUAGUAAUUCCUACUAUGUGUGGAUCACAUCCUGUAGCUCUCAGCAUAUCUUGCCGACGAAUGAAUUAGCAUGUAUCCGGUAUUUGAACAAAAUAAUUCCAUAUAACUGUCAACAAAAACACAAGCUAAGCUUUUUGUAAGAGACCCGAUCAGGUAUCCAGACUCCGGGAACAGCAAAAGAUUCAAGUAGAUCAGAACUACAUAGAAGCAUUACCUCGAAUGAAGUUAAAAUUGAUUCCAGAACAAGAGGUGAGAACAUAAACAAUACAUCGCAGCAAAAUUCUACUCUCUUCGAUAAAUAGUCAAUGAAUAUGUUACAGAAAUCUCAUCAAUUUAUGUUACCACCCAUGGAUCUACCAAGAACUUUUGCAUCUAAUUCACACAGCUGAAUUCGAUGGCUGGCUGGCAAAAGAUCCUAACAAAGUGAACUUUUUAACUUUGCACUACUUAGAUUAUAAGCAUAGGAGAUACAUGUAUAAAAAAACAAUAGAAUUCUAAUUUUCCACAGAAGGGCAGUAAGCGAAGAUGUAACUCGCCUAUGAAAACCCAGGUAAUGGAUUGGUUAUUAGACAAAAUAAAGAUGAUCUAACUCCUAAUUUCUUAAUAUCCCAUUAUCGUGCGGCUAGUUUUACCUAAGUCAUGCGACACUUAUAUAUGUUCAUCCGUAAAGGUCAACCAUCCCGAAACCUCCGAUGAUUUCUUAGGACCUACAAAAGAGAAAACAGGUUAGAGAAAAUAUUUUACUCGGGAUCCACAAACAAUCAUUUCAGCAAACACUUCAUAGCCAAUGCAAAUUACAAACAAAUUUCAUAUGUUUUGAACGGUCCGACAACAAAAGAUCCAAUGAUCCACUACAGAUCGAAAUUCUCACAAGUGCCCACUUGACACAAUCUUUGUUUGCAAUCCUAAGACAAUCAUUAAAAAAAAAAAAGGGUUGUUAAGCCUACUGUCAGCUGUUUACAUGUUGUGCAAAGCAUGAACAAAACUGAAAAACACGGAUAUACAUUAACAUUACAUGAUGUGUGUUUGUUAUGUUUGAUGUGUGUGUAUGUGCUAUAUGUUUGUUGUGUGUAUAUGUUGUGUAUAUGUGUUAUAUAUGUUAUGUAUAUGUGUAAUGUGUGUUAGGAGUCGUGUGUGUGUUGUGUAUGUUAUGUGUGUGUGUGUGUGUUGUGUGUAGUAUGUAUUUUUAUGAGUUGUGUGUGUGUAUUGUGUAUGUUAUGUAUGUGUGUGUAGUGUGUGUGUGUAUGUAUGUGUGUGUAUAGUGUAUGUUGUUUGUGUGUGUAUGUGUGUGUGUUGCGUAUGUAUGUGUGUGUAUUAUGAGUGUAUGUGAUACGUAUGUUAUGUGUAUAUUGUUAUUAGUUGUGUGUGUAUGUUGUGUAUGUUAUGUGUGUGUGUGUUUUGUAUGUGUAUUGUGUGUGUCUUUGUGUGUUGUGCAUUGUUUGUGUUAUGUGUGUUGUUAUAAGUUGUGUAUGUUAUGUGUGUGUAUGUGUUGUGGGUGUUGUGUGUAUGUAGUGUAUAUUGUUUUUUUUUUGUAUGUUAUGUUAUGUGUGCGUGUGUAGUGUGUUGUUUGUGAGUUAUGAGGUGUUGUUAUGAGUUGUGUUGUAUAUGUUAUGUGUGUGUAUGUGUUGUGUGUAGUGUGUAUUGUUUAUGAGUUGUGUGUAUGUGUGUCGUGUAUGUUAUGUGUGUGUGUUGUGUGUGUAUGUGUAUUAUAUGGUGUCUUUGUGUGUUGUUUAUUGUGUAUGUGAGUUGUUAUGAGUUGUGUGUGUAAGUGUAUUGUGUGUUGUGUAUGUUAUGUGUGUGUGUGUAUUGUGUAUGUUGUGUGUGUGUGUAUUAUGUGUUGUGUGUAUGUGUGUGUGUGUAUGUGUGCAUGUGUAUUAUGUAUGUUAAGAGUUGUGUGUAUGUGUGUGUGUUAUGUAUGUUGUGUGUUAUUAUGAGUUGUGUUUGUAUAUGUGUAUGUUAUAUGCGUGAAGUGUGUUGUUAUGAGUUGUAUGUGUAUAUAUGUGUUGUUUGCAGUAUGUGUUGUGUGUAUAUGUGUAUUGUGUGUGUUGUUUAUUGUGUGUGUUAUGUGUGUGGGUAUUGUAUGUUUUGCGUGAUUGCUGCGAUCUUUUUGUCAUAGAUUACAGAUAUGUAGUGCAACUUUUUUUCUAUGUUAUGAGGUGUUUUACAAAGGGCUUUCGAUGUGUUAGCACAAAAGAGGAAGAAAGGGCAACAACUGUUGCUACCCCUUAGAUUGGCAAAAGGCUGCUUCGUCGCAAGAAGGAAGUUGGGAUAGCUCCGCCAGAGUACUUCCAUUUGAGACUACAUGAAGUAAUUUUCUGCACUAAUGCUGGACAUAUAGGACAUGUCCGAGAAGGAUAAGCUGUUCAGCUUCCUCGAUGGUUUGAAGCUAUGGGCUCAACAAGAACUACAUCGAAGGAAUGUCGCCGAUGUGAUCGGGGCAAUUGUUGCCGUAGAAAGGCUCACCAACUUUGUUUUCUCUGAAGACCCGGGAAAAAGGAAACAAUCUUCAGGCAAUUGCCCUCCAAAAUAUUCUCAAGGGAAGGAGCUCGGGGGCGAAUAAAGGAAGAAGAGUUCCUACAAAGGGCCAAGUCCGAAAGGCAAAGCCCCAAAACCUGGCGGAUGCUUCUUGUGCGGAGGGUCGCACAUGGUAAGGGAGUGCCCACAAAAACAGGCACUCAAUGAUUUAACAGCUUCUAUCCACCCCCCCAAAUCGGACAAGGGCAAGGCUGUCGCUCUUAGUUCGAGUAGUUUUGAAUCCAGUAGCGAUAAUGAGGAGUCGCAAAGAGCCUGAUGGGAGCAAUGCGUUUGUUGAACUCCAUACAGGGCCAAGUGGGGGAGAACAUGAAGACAAGGCUACAAAAAGCAGGAAGUGGUGAGCUUAUAUACAUAGACAUCAAGCUCAAUGGCCUAACAACUCGUGCAAUGGUGGACACCAGGGGUGCCCCUUAUAGCUAGGCAACAACUGUUGCUACCCCUUAGAUUGGCAAAAGGCUGCUUGCAGCCUUGGCUGAGUGCCCUUCUUGCUGCUCUAAGCUUGGCUAAAAGCAGCAAGAAUGAGAGCAACAAGACUGCUCUCAACCUGCUACAUGGCAACCCUUGUCUAGCUACAAGGGGCACCCCUGGUGGCUAAGGUUUCUUGGCCGCAAGGGUUGCCUUAGUGGCUAGGACUCUUGGCCGCAUGGGCAAGCAAACCCCGGCCGUGCAAGUACACCCUAUAGCUAGUGUUUUUUGGCUGUAGAGGUAACCUUGGGGGCUAGGGAACCCUAGCCGCCCAAACCUGGCUGCGUGGGGCACCCUAUUGUAGGGUACCCCAAAAGGUAGAAAAGUAAUUAAUUAAAUAAUUAAAUAAUAAUAAUAAUAAUAAUAAUUAUUAUUAUUAUCUAGUAGUCCUAUAUGAUAAUGAUUUGUACGUGAUGUAUGAUGUAGACGGAUGAUCAUUAACCAUAUGAUGUGUGUAUACAUGUGAUAUGAUUAUUAUUAUUAUUGGAGCUUACGAGCCUUAAAUUUUUUUCUCAUUUAUUGUUGGGCCUACGUGCCUAUGAUUAAGUUGUAAUAAUAUGAGGAGACACGACGGGAGUGUAGAGGCGAUAGCGAAACCCACGAGACCGAGAAGGACGAUCACAGGGCAUGGAGAUGCCUAUGCAACCGACGAGAACGAGAU
rnacentral:lncRNA from 1 species